rnacentral:lncRNA from 1 species
UUUAAUGCCGCUCAGAAUGAGGCCACCCAGUAGUUAGGUGUGAAUUUUCGAGACCUCUGGCACCGUUCUAAGAUGGGUCCUCUCUUCGUAGGCUAAUGCAUUGGCCCUUUUGACCCGUUUUGGGGCGAAAACAAAAACUGACUCCCGGGCAUAUUUUUUUCGGCCUUUAUGGGCAGAGAACUUUAAUGCCGCUCAGAAUGAGGCCACCCAGUAGUUAGGUGUGAAUUUUCGAGACCUCUGGCACCGUUCUAAGAUGGGUCCUCUCUUCGUAGGCUAAUGCAUUGGCCUUUUUGACCCGUUUUGGGGCGAAAACAAAAACUGACUCCCGGG